AACGUAGGACACAAGCGUUAUCCGGAGUUACUGGGCGUAAAGGGCGUGUAGGCGGAAGGAUAAGUCUACUCUGAAAGCUCCUGGCUAAACUGGGAGAGGCGAGUGGAGACUGUUUUUCUAGAGUGAGGAAGAGGAAAGUGGAAUUCCGCGUGUAGUGGUGAAAUGCGUAGAGAGUGCGGAGGAACACCAGUGGCGAAAGCGAACUUUCUGGUCCUUAACUGACGCUGAGGCGCGAAAGCAUGGGGGAGCCGAACGGG
rnacentral:rRNA from 1 species